rnacentral:rRNA from 1 species
GACAGAGGGUGCAAACGUUGUUCGGAAUUACUGGGCGUAAAGCGCGUGUAGGCGGCUAAGUAAGUCGGGCGUGAAAUCCCACGGCUCAACCGUGGAAGUGCACUCGAAACUGCAUAGCUAGAGUCCUGGAGAGGAAGGUGGAAUGCUUGGUGUAGAGGUGAAAUUCGUAGAUAUCAAGCGGAACACCGGUGGCGAAGGCGGCUACCUGGACAGUUACUGACGCUCAGGCACGAAAGCGUGGGGAGCAAAAGGG